AUGUCCAUGUCGCCGCGGAACGAGAUCUGGCCGAAGCCACCGCUGUAUGGCCCGCGCAUCUUCACCUCCAUCUCGUCGGUCAGCUCCAUCGCUCUCACCUGCCGAGUUUCAGAAGGGAGCAUGUGGGAAGCUUAUGAACAAACUCAGGGAGCAGCAACACAACUGACGGUUCCAACAGGCAAUGCAGCUCGCAGGGCAUCCCAACAUGUAAGAUCGGCAGCUCCCGAUACUAGGCAGCACAUUAGGCCUUGUACAAUGGGAGAUGCUUAG
rnacentral:rRNA from 1 species